AACCUCCUCAAUGCACUAAAGUGCGAAGGGGUUACCUCGAGUGCCAUCUGAUGAAGGUGGCUUUUCCUUGGUCUAAAAAGCCUAGGGAAUAAGAGGGGGGCAAGACUGGUGUCAGCCGCCGCGGUAACACCAGCCCCUCGAGUGGUGGGGAUGAUUAUUUGGCCUAAAGCGUCCGUAGCCGGCCGGGUAAGUUUCCCGUUAAAUCCAACGUCUCAAGCGUUGGACUGCGGGAAAUACUGCCUGGCUAGAGAGUGGGAGAGGUCAGCGGUAUUCUGGGGGUAGGGGCGAAAUCCUUUGAUCCCCGGAGGACCACCAGUGGCGAAGGCUGCUGACUAGAACACGUCUGACGGUCAGGGACGAAAGCUGGGGUAGCGAACCGGAUUAGAUACCCGGGUAG
rnacentral:rRNA from 1 species